rnacentral:lncRNA from 10 species
ACUCCGCAGGUGCUGGACGGAAGUCAGGGUUCUAAUCCUCUGCGCGCUCUGCGACCUUGGCAAGCCCUUUGCCCACUCUGGGCCUCAGGAUCCACCUCGGUAAAAUGGGAGCGUGGAACAAUAAUACCAAGGGUUCUUUUUUUUUUUUUUUUUUUUUUUGAGACGGAGUCUCGCUCUGUCGCCCAGGCUGGAGCGCAGUGGCGCGAUCUCGGCCCACUGCAAGCUCCGCCUCCUGGGUUCACGCCAUUCUCCUGCCUCAGCCUCCCGAGUAGCUGGAACUACAGGCGUCUGCCACCACGCCCAGCUAAUUUUUUGUAUUUUUAGUAGAAACGGGGUUUCACCGUGUUAGCCAGGAUGGUCUCGAUCUCCUGACCUCGUGAUCUGCCUGCCUCGUGCUCCCAAAGUGCUGGGAUUACAGGCGUGAGCCACCAUGCCCAGCCUACCAAGGGUUCUUAACAAGGCUGUCCGGGAUGUGCAGCAGAGGGUCAGUGUAACCACCCCAUGGGUUCAUUUUGCCCGUUUCCCAGACAGCGGAUUUAUCAAGACAGAGGAAUUGCAAUAAGAGUUUAAUUCAUGCAGAGCCGGCUGAAUGGGAGACCGGAGUUUUAU